rnacentral:lncRNA from 1 species
AAGGUGACAUUGCAGUGCAGUGAGAAAAGGGUGAUCUUUUUAAAAUAUCCUCCUGGGUCAUUGAAUAUACAUACAAGAAAAGAAUAUUUUUACUCUUACCUUGCACCAUACACAAAAAUUACUUCCAAAUGGAUGGCUUAAUGUAGAUGUGAAAAGUUUAAAGCAAUUAAGUAAAAAAACUUAGUGACCUUGGAGUAGACAAAACUUUUCUAAUAACCAAAUGAAGGGAAGGUUUUUACAGUAAAAUUAAGCUUUUAAUGCAUCAAAGACUCAUGAAGGUGAAGGCAACUAACAAUUGGAUAUAUAAACACAUCCAUCAACCCAGCAAUAUAAAAUAUCCAACAAAAACUCAUUCAAGAUAUAUCAAGAAGUCAUAAAAUUGGUGUUACAGUUUGGAUGAGAUGUCCCCCAAAAGCUCCUAUUAAUGCAAGAGUAUCCACAGGUAAGAUGAUUAGAUUAUGAGAGUGGUGACCUGAUUGGUUCCUCCUAGUUUGGAUCCACUGGAUGUAACUGUUGGCAUGUGGGACAAGGCUGGAGGAAGUGGGUCACUUGGGAUGUGCCCUGAAACCGGGGGAGGGCGGGAUUUUGUUCUUCCUGUGCCCCCUCUGCCUGACCAUGCAUUGAGAAGCUUUCCUCCAUUGUCAUCUAUCAUGAUGUGCUGCCUUACUUUGGGCCCAGAACAGUGGAAUUGGUAGUCUAUGAACUGAGACCUCUGAAGUCAUGAGCCCCAAGUAAACUUUUCUAAGUUGUUCUUAUUGCAUAUUUUAACAUAUUGACACAAAAGCUGACUAAAACAAUUAAAAAAAUAAAGCUUUAUAUAUAAACAUUGGCAAAAAAUAACCCAAAUGGCCAAUGAAUAUUGGGUCAUUGAAUAUACAUACAGGGGAAGAAUAUACAUGGGGUAUAUUCAUUGGGUAAAAAAUAUACACUGCAGAUACACACACACACACAUUGGGUUUAUAUACCCAAGUAGGUUCUCUACUUAAAUCAGGUUGCAACUAUGUACAUCCACACAAUAUCAUAUCAUACCAUACCACUGCAUGUUUCCCCCUACAGUGGGUGAAAUGAAGAAGAUAACAAGUGUUGGCAGAGAUAUGGAACAUUUGCUAUUAUUGGGAGGAUAGAAUAGUAAAAACACUGGAAAACUGGAAGUUUUAAAUCUUAAUAUAUCAUAGGGCUUAGCAAUUCCACCGAGACAGAGACCCAGGAGAAAUGGGUACAGAGGUUCCACCCAAAGGCAUGUGUUCCUAUAAACAUCUAUACCAGCACAAUGUUAAUAGCUGAUGUAGGAAACUACUCAAAUGCCCAUUGAAAUUAAAAUGAACAUAUCAAUUGUGGCAUGUUCACAUAGUGGAAUGCUACAUAAUACUGAAAAUAAAUGCUUUAUGACUACAACAAAAUGGUAGAAGCUAUUUAAUAUACAAUAAUGUGUAAAAGAAGCCAACACAAGAGUACAUACUAUACAAUCCCGUUAAUGUCAAUCACAAAAAUGAAAGUUCUGCUAGAAGUUUAGGAUGGCAUUUACCCUUGGGAGGGGAAAGAUUUGGUUCUGGAAUGUCUCUCAAAGGCCUGUGGUUAAAGGCUUGAUCACCAACCUAUGGCACUAUUUGAAAGGGGUAUAACCUUUAGAAGGUGGUGUAGUGGAAGGAAAUCAGGUCAUUGGGGGUGUGUCCUUAAAGUGGGUACUGGAAUCCCAGCCCCUUGUUUCUUUGCUUCCUGGUUCCUUCCAUAGGUAGACAGGUUUUCUCUGCUGCCCCCUCCUACCACCAUACCACCAUAUGUCCAAAGCAAUGGAGACAACUGAUGGCAGAUCGAAACCUCUGAAACUGAGCCAAAAUAAACUACUUCCUUUUAAGUUGAUUAUUGCAGAUAUUUUUCACCUCAACAGAAAGAUAAUUAACACACUGGCUGGAAAGUAGUACUAACUUUUCCUUCUUGGAACAAAAAUAGGCCAAGCAGGCAAGGUUGCAGUGCUAUAAUCUGCUUUGAUCUUGUUCUCUAUAAAACUUGAGGCUCUAAUUGCUUCAAUUUUGUGUUAUAUAGAUUAUAUUUAAGUUACAAAUUAUAUAUACUAGUAUGAAGAUCUUGUGUCAUUAAAUUGUCACUUAAAUGGAUGCUAAUUUAAUAAUACAAAAACAGGAACAAUUUUUUAAAACUAGUUUGUACUCAUUGCCUAUGUUGCAACUGUAUAUGCCACUUUGCUACAAAUUGAAUUUUUAGGUUUUUAGUAAUAAAAAGCUAUCCCUGUCACAGAUAUCUUGAGGAAGUGCCUGCCAAAACGUGCAGUUUUGUUGCUAGAGUACUUGAGCACGAUUCUUGUCACAUAGAUGAUCAGUGAUAGAUGUUGUGAAAUGCACACUGAGUGACUUAAUGAUGCUUCAAAACAGUUAAUUCAGAUUUACUGGGAUCCACUGGGGCUUCGCCUUGGUACCCACUGAGAUCCAACAACCUGGUGUAAGGAGAUCUCUAGUUUCAGAUUAGUUCAACAUGUUUUAUAAUCAUAGCAUUAUUUCAUCAGCACAAUUGGAACAGUAUGAAAUAUGCUGCCUGUCUCCCAAAUAUUAUGUGGUACAUACUUACACUAAAAAAAUUAGUUUUACCUGAAAUACAAAAUCAUCUUACUCUAUUUUAUUUGCUAAAUCUGUUGACCCUAUGUGAAUGACAUUUGCUGCCAAAAAGUAGUUGUGGUUUUUUUGCACAUAAGUAUUAUUUUUAUUAUUUUUUUGCAAAUACCAAUGAAUUCCCUAUUAAUAGAGCUCUGUGCUACUUCCAGUCUUUGCUAGUAUAAACAAUGCCACAUUGUACUAUCUGUGUUUGUGACAUUUCUUGGCUUCACCAAUGUGUCUUGAGGAUAUAUUUCUUUACUAUUAUUAUUAUUUACUUAUAUAUGACAGCAGAAUGCAUUACAAUUCUUAUACAUAUAGAGCACAAUUUUUCGUAUCUCUGCUUGUAUAUAAAGUAUAUUCACACCAGUUCGUGUCUUCAUACAUGUACUUUGGAUAAUAAUGUCCAUCACAUUCCACCAUCAUUAAUAACCCAUGCCCCCUCCCUUUCCCUCCAACCCCUUUGCCCUAUCUAGAGUUCGUCUAUUCCUCCAUACCCCACUAUGAAUCAGCCUACUUCUAUCAGAGAAAAUAUUUGGCAUUUGAUUUUGGGGGAUUGGCUAACUUCAUUUAGCAUUAUCUUCUCUAACUCCAUCCAUCUACCUGCAAAUGCCAUGAUUUUAUUCUCUUUUACUGCUGAGUAAUAUUCCAUUGUGUAUAUAUGCCACAUUUUUUUUAUCCAUUCAUCUAUUGAAGGGUAUCUAGAUUGGUUCCAUAGUUUAGCUAUUGUAAAUUGUGCUGCUAUACACAUUGAUGUGGCUGUGUCCCUGUAGUAUGCUGUUUUUUAAGUUCUUUGGGUGUAGACCAAGGAGAGGGAUAGCUGGGUCAAAUGGUGGUUUCAUUCCCAAUUUUCCAAGAAAUCUCCAUACUGCUUUCCAUAUUGGCUGCACCAAUUUGCAGCCCUACCAGCAAUUUAUGAGUGUAUCAUUUUCCCCACAUCCUCACCAACACUUAUUAUUGUUUGUCUUCAUAAUAGCUGCCAUUCUGACUGGAGUGAGAUGAAAUCUUAGAGUAGUUUUGAUUUGCAUUUCUCUAAUUGCUAGCGAUGAUGAACAUUUUUUAAUAUAUUUGUUGAUUGAUUGUAUAUCAUCUUCUGAGAAGUGUCUGUUCAGAUCCUUGGCCCAUUUAUUGGUUGUUUUUUGUUUGUUUGUUUUUGUGUGUGUGUGUGUGUGCUUAGCUUUUUGAGUUUUUUGUAUACCCUACAGAUUAGUGCUGUAUCUGAUGUGUGAGGGGUAAAGAUUUGCUCCUAAGAUGCCAAGAUGUAGGCUCUCUAUUCACCUCACAGAUUGUUUCUUUUGCUGAGAAGAAACUUUUUGGUUUGAGUUCAUGCCAUUUAUUGAUUCUUGAUUUUAAUUAUUAUGCCAAAAGAGUCUUAUUAAGGAAGUUGGGGCCUAACCCCACAUGAUGGAGAUUAGGGCCUACUUUUUCUUCUGUUAUACACAGGGUCUCUGGUUUUAUUCCUAGGUCCUUGAUCCAUUUUGAGUUGAGUUUUGUGCAUGGUGAGAGAUAGGGGCUUAAUUUCAUUUUACUGCAUAUGGAUUUCCAGUUUUCCCAGCACCAUUGUUGAAGAGGCUAUCUUUUCUCCAAUGCAUGUUUUUGGCACCUUUGUCUAAUAUAAGUUAAUUGUAAUUUUGUGAGUUAGUCUCUGUGUCCCCUAUUCUGAACUAUUGGUCUACCAGUCUGUUUUGGUGCCAAUACCACGCUGUUUUUGUUACUAUUGCUCUGUAGUAUAGUUUAAGGUCUUGUAUAGUGAUGUCACCUGCUUCACUCUUCCUGCUAAGAAUUGCUUUAGUUAUUCUGGAUCUGUUAUUUUUUGAGAUGAAUUUCAUGAUUGUUUUUUUUCUAUUUCUAUGAGGAAUGCCAUUGGGAUUUUGGUAUGGUAGUAUGGUCAUUUUAAUAAUAUUAAUUCUGCCUCUCCAAGAGCAAGGUAGAUCUUUCCAUCUUCUAAGUUCAGUAGUUGUUUUUAAUGGUAAGAAACUUACAGGACCAAACUAAAAAAAAAAAAAAAAUUAAAGACCAGUACCUACUGAAGUUAUAAAGGGUACACACUUUGAAUACUCUGGAAAAUCAACACAUUCAGGAUUAAACAAUACCUCCAUGGCUUAUCAGCUGUUUAUAAUUUCAAUUUUUCCCUUUGAUUGUUCAUGAUCACUGUUUGUUUAUCACUAUUUUAUCUCUCAUGUUUGUUUUUAAAAUGUGACUUAGAUCUUCAAUAUUAAAAUUGACAAUACUUUUGAAGACUUUAAUUUUCCAUAUUUCUAUUAGAUUACACAAGGACAUGAAAUUCAUUUCUCGUUUGCUUACAUAGCAUGUGGCUUCAUUUACCCUUGUUUAAAUUUAUUUUAAGUAAUACAAACUCCAUCUCCAAUGUCACACAAUCUUAAUUGUCAAUUUUAAGGUUUGUUGCCAUCCGAACUGAAUUAAGUGACUAUUAGGGUCAAAAGGAAGACAUAGUUCUGGCACAGUAAACAAGCUUGGAAAGAGAAAGGGAAAGUAUGUUUAUUACAGUGUAACUAAGUUAUAGCAAUAAGAUUUGUCCUAUAUUAAGCCCGGGUGAGUUAAAAUACCUUCUCAGAGUCAAGUGGUCACUCAUGGGAAAUAAAUUAAUUCUCCUGAGACCCUGGAGCAUGAAUUAGUGAUCUGGAAGAGGGAAUUAAUCUCAAAUGGAUGAGCACUUGGCUUUGAAAUUGCUCUCUAUUUAUAGUUCUCUUAGAAUCAAAUUUAGAUCGAACCCACAGCAUAGUUUUAUGCAGAUAAACCAAACUCCACAUUGAUUCAAAACAAUAAUGUCUCCAAGUGGUAAAAAUAAUUUUAGCCUAUUGAAAAAAAAACUUUUGUGUGUAUGUGUGUAUGACAAUGAACACACCAAGUCCCCCCCAGAAAAUUAGAGGUGAGGCUGAAAAGUGAAGAAGCAGCAAGUAUUAUUUAUUGCUUUCAAAACUAUUGAUCCACUUCUGAAAUUAAUCCUAUUUUUCGUUUUUAAAGUUUUAUUUUCACAGGCAACUUAAAGAUUCGUAAAAGCCUAAUUAGAUAGUUAAUUUUCUCACAUUGUAUUAUGAAGGAUAACUGAAAAAAAGAUUAACUCCAUAAAUUACAUGUAAGUAUCAAUCCCAUUUCCUUUUCCAUCAUUUAGAUAAAAGACACUCAGAGUUGUAAGUUUUGGUUGGUUAUAAACCAACUAACUAGCAGAAGGAGCUAUGGCAAGUUCGGGAUUACCUUUGGCUGUUGGACUUCCCGCUACAUUCCUCCAUUUCAUAGUGGAAAAUAAUCUAAUUCUAACAAUGAGUGUCCUUUUAAUGAAUAUACAUAUGAAUAUAUAUAUAUAUAUAUAUAUAUAUAUAUAUGUAUACACACUCAC